GUCUAUGGUCAUACCACCCUGAACACGCCCGAUCUCGUCUGAUCUCGGAAGCUAAGCAGGGUCAGGCCUGGUUAGUACUUGGAUGGGAGACCACCUGGGAAUACUGGGUGCUGUAGGCU
ensembl:rRNA 5S_rRNA 5S ribosomal RNA